AGUACAGAAGGGGCUACUUCCCUGUUAGCUUUUUUUGAUUUGAAUUCUACAAAUAUCAAAUUGACAGUCAGUGAUACGUAUUUUGAGCAUCGUUGUUCAGGCGCAAUGUUGUGGGGAAAUCUAGAGGAGAUUGAGUUAUUUCUGUGGAUUUUACCUUCUCACCAGCAGUGGGCAAAUGUGAUGGGAUGAGCACUUUAAAGUCACGUGAUUCAGGACACCCACUACAUGCCUCCCAAGGUGUUUUAAUCAUAAUGACCAUUUCUGUUGGUCAUUGUUCCAUCAGGAUCCAGGCUACCCCAGUGAGAUGUUGGGACUCAUCAGUGCAGACACUGAUACCCUUCAGAAAUGUGGAAGAAGCUCCUGGACCCGUGAGGAAUGUGGAGUAGGGUGAAGUUGCCCCUAGAAGUAGAUCUUGGGUCCGUUAACAAUUUGUGAGGGGAAAUUAAUAAGGUUAUAACUGAGGGAGUGUAUGCUGAUCCUAGAUCUGUACUCUAAUGUUCUGUCUCAAUAAAGUGUUGUUUAAUAUUAGAACAUGUUUCCAAUGCUCUGUGCCAACUAACAAG